rnacentral:antisense_RNA from 2 species
CUCUAUGGUGGCUGUGCGUGGUGCACCUUUGUGUGCGCCGGGUUUGCAUCUCUGUCGACCGGUCUGUCAACCCAUGCACAGCUGCCACCCCA